rnacentral:rRNA from 1 species
CCCCGUGAACCUUUACUAUAGCUUGACACUGAACAUUGAGCCUUGAUGUGUAGGAUAGGUGGGAGGCUUUGAAGUGUGGACGCCAGUCUGCAUGGAGCCGACCUUGAAAUACCACCCUUUAAUGUUUGAUGUUCUAACGUGGACCCGUAAUCCGGGUUGCGGACAGUGUCUGGUGGGUAGUUUGACUGGGGCGGUCUCCUCCUAAAGAGUAACGGAGGAGCACGAAGGUUGGCUAAUCCUGGUCGGACAUCAGGAGGUUAGUGCAAUGGCAUAAGCCAGCUUGACUGCGAGCGUGACGGCGCGAGCAGGUGCGAAAGCAGGUCAUAGUGAUCCGGUGGUUCUGAAUGGAAGGGCCAUCGCUCAACGGAUAAAAGGUACUCCGGGGAUAACAGGCUGAUACCGCCCAAGAGUUCAUAUCGACGGCGGUGUUUGGCACCUCGAUGUCGGCUCAUCACAUCCUGGGGCUGAAGUAGGUCCCAAGGGUAUGGCUGUUCGCCAUUUAAAGUGGUACGCGAGCUGGGUUUAGAACGUCGUGAGACAGUUCGGUCCCUAUCUGCCGUGGGCGCUGGAGAACUGAGGGGGGCUGCUCCUAGUACGAGAGGACCGGAGUGGACGCAUCACUGGUGUUCGGGUUGUCAUGCCAAUGGCACUGCCCGGUAGCUAAAUGCGGAAGAGAUAAGUGCUGAAAGCAUCUAAGCACGAAACUUGCCCCGA